UAGAGUGAGGGGGUGACUAGUGGCAGAGUGAGGGAAGGAAGGGGUUACUAGUGACAGAGUGAGGGGAUGACUGGUGACAAAGUGAGGGAGGGAGUGGGUGACCAGUGACAGAGGGAGGGAGGGAGGGAGGGAGUGGAUGACCAGUGACAGAAGGAGGGGGUGACACAGUGACAGAGUGAGGGAGGUGGUGACUGUCACUAGUCACCACCUCCCUCACUCUGUCCCUAGUCACCCCUCCCUCUGUCACUAGUCACCCCCUUCCUCACUCUGUCACUAGUCACCACCUCCCUCACUCUGUCACUAGUCACCACCUCCCUCACUCUGUCACUAGUCACCCCCUCCAUCUCUUACUCUGUCACUAGUCACCCCCUCCCUCACUC